UGUCGCAGCCUCAAGAGGCUGAGCUUUUAGUUGUCCUGCAAAAAGCGAAGUGUACUUUGCAUCAAAAAGAUUGAGUUCUCAACAGCAGCAAUGAGGAAAUGUCAUUUGUCUAGUGUAACAGAUAGUAGUGAUCAACUUCAGUGCAAGUGUUGCUGCAUAUAGAGACCCCAGCCCCAACAUAACAAUAAACCGUUCCCUGGGCUAAUACUGCGCAAAUCGUUCAGUACCUGAAGAGUUUUUAAAGGAAGUGGACACUAAUGGUUCCCUGGGCUAAUACUGCGCAAAUCGUUCAGUACCUGAAGAGUUUUUAAAGGAAGUGGACACUAAUGGUUCCCUGGGCUAAUACUGCGCAAAUCGUUCAGUACCUGAAGAGUUUUUAAAGGAAGUGGACACUAAUGUGGAAAUACAUAAUGGCACUGUCUUUCAGGAGUUGGCUGCUGCCUACACAGAUGAUGAAAGCCUA